UGUAAGUGUAGACAGGUCAUGACCAGAGAAAGGUGCAACUCAUUCACUUCAGUCUAUCUUCAAGGUCGUUUCCUUAACAUCGCACAAAGUGAGCGUUGUUGUCGGUACUGUCCCUACACUAUGGACUCAGUUCCUCAUAUUCUGCUUUACUGUUUGAGGUAUAAUGAUAUUAGAACUGACCUGGGAGCUUUAUUACCUUCAUACUUUAAGUUUUUCUCAGACAAACUAAAAAUGUCUAAGCUAUUGAACAGCUCUAAUGUAGAAAUUUCGGAAGCAGUUGCUACAUUUUUAAUCCGUGUCCUACAUGAUGUGUAACAACAAUCCUGUUAUUGUACCUGGAAUGUUCGGUACUUUCGGUUUUAUGCCUAAUAAAGGUUUUUGGAUUG